rnacentral:lncRNA from 1 species
UACUAUGUGUGGCCACUUUGGGCUGAUGAAGGAGGCCUCACACUAGGCCAAACAAGGAACAAGACAUGCCCUCUUGAUGUUAUCCGUGACCCUUCUUUUAUUGGCUCACCAGUGGCAUUCUCGGCAGAAGGGCUUGACCACAUUCCAACUCUCACUGAUCUCACCAUUGACUUCCCUGUGGUCACAGCCUGCAACCAGCCUACAGUGUGGAAGCUCAGCAAGGAAGGGUCAGGGUUCUGGUUUGUGAGCACCAGUGGGAACCCUCAGGAUAUCACAAGCAAGUUCAAGAUUGAGAGGCUUGAAGGGGAUCACGCCUAUGAGAUCUACAGCUUCAAGUUCUGCCCCAGUAGGCCUGGUGUACUGUGUGCUCCUGUGGGAACCUUUCAAGAUUCUGAUGGAACCAAAGUCAUGGCUGUUGGGGAUAACAUUGACCCCUACUAUGUCAGGUUCCAGAAGUUUUCCUUGAAGGACCAAGAGAAGAAACCCUUCAGCAUUGUGUAGUUUGGUAGCUCUAUGAGCUGUGUAGUUAUAGGGGGUUGUGACUUUGAAUAAUCAAUAAGAGUGUAGUAGGGAACUGGAUUUUUGGUGUGGCAGCAGAAAGAAUCAUCAGAAGUUUUUAUUUCUUGGUUCUCAUGGCACAGAUCAGA